rnacentral:rRNA from 1 species
AUGGUGGGCUUCUUGUUGUAGCGCGCGAGCUUGGCGGCCUCGGCGGCGAGCUUCUCGAAGAUGUCGUUGAUGAAGGAGUUCAUGAUGGACAUGGCCUUGGAGGAGAUGCCGACGUCGGGGUGCACCUGCUUCAGCACCUUGAAGAUGUAG